UACGUAGGGGGCAAGCGUUGUCCGGAUUUAUUGGGCGUAAAGAGCGUGUAGGCGGCCAGGUAGGUCCGCUGUGAAAACUCGAGGCUCAACCUCGAGAUGUCGGCGGAAACCACUUGGCUAGAGUCCGGAAGAGGAAAGUGGAAUUCCCGGUGUAGCGGUGAAAUGCGCAGAUAUCGGGAAGAACACCCGUGGCGAAGGCGGCUUUCUGGGACGGUACUGACGCUGAGACGCGAAAGCGUGGGGAGCGAACAGG
rnacentral:rRNA from 1 species